rnacentral:lncRNA from 1 species
GCGGUUGCCAUAGGGGGGCUGAGCCCGCCCUAAAUGAAAUUCUUUCACCUCUUGCGUCACCCGGACGUCUUCCGGGCCGCGGAGCCCAGGCCGCUUCGCCCUCGCCCUCGUGUGGACACAGGACUCGAAGGCCGCUUUCACAACCGGAGGAAGCUGGGAGGUGGCCAGGGCUGGGCUCAGGCCCUGUGUGGGAGGGAGAUGGGGUACAGGAAGGGAAGCGACCCGAGCACCCCUGCCCUCCCAGCUUCUCCUCUCCCUCUUCCUCCUCCUCCUCGUUUGAGCUGGUGGUUGAACCCAGGGCCUCACGGGCCAAACUGCCAGCCCCAGACCGCAAGGACAGGCGCGAGUUCCAAGUCGAUUCCCAGAGCUGGGAGUGUCAGCCCUCCGUAAAAAUGAAGUCAGAAAACUCGAGGCAGUUGAAAGGACUUCAUGCAUGAUAUGGAGUUCUCAAGGGAAGAAAUCAUGGCACACACCUGUAAUCCCAACGCUCAGGAGGCUGAGGCAGGAGCAUUGCCACAAGUUCGAGGCCAGCCUGGGCUACAUAGCAAGACCCUGUCUCAAAAAAGAGAAAAAGUCAAGAGAAGAAAUAAAAGGACCCCCCAUAACUAACUCAUCAUAUAAUGAAUCCCUUUGGCCAAUUCCGGCAGAACUGAUAUGGAAUCAAAUUCAGAGCCUCAUGCUUGCCAGCCAGGAGCUGCACCGCUGAACUACAUCCCCAGCCUGCCAACAUGUUCUAAUAAAAUUUUUUUUCGGUACCGGGGAUCAACCUUGUGCUUGUGAGGCAGGCGCCAGAACCACUGAGCUAAAUCCCCGGCCUCUAACAAAAGUUUUUAUCCGUUGCCUGCCUUGCAGGUGCAAGGACCUGAGUUUAAUCCCCGGUACCCCCCCAAAAUUUUUAAAAAUUAUUUUAAAAAAUAAAAAAGAAGUUUCCUCUUUCCUACCAUCAGUGUAGCUCUGCAAAGGUGUGCACACAUACAGAGUUGACCGUUUAAUUGCAGUAAUUAUGUUCUAUAAAUUUGGCACAAACCUUGAAUUCACAAAUAUUCCUCCUAAGGGAAAUGCAGGGUUAGGGUCUUGCAAAACUCUAGUCAUUAUGUUUUCAACUGAUUAAUACAUAGGGGUUUUUGUUUGGUUGGUUAUUUUUUUAUUUUUGUUUUCAGUUGGUUGUUUUUGUUUUGUUCAUUAAACCCAGGACCUUCAAACUGAGCUACAUCCCCAGCCCUUUUUAUUUUUUAUUUAUUUAUUUUUUGGUACCGGGGAUCGAACUCAGGACCUUGCGCUUUUGAGGCAGGUGCCAGAACCACUGAACUAAAUCCCCGGCCCUCCCCAGCCCUUUUUAAACUUUUAAAAUUUUGAGACAGGG